GACUUAUAUAGCCACCACUUAUAAAACAUGACUUUAGGGGUCAAAAGCUAUUGAAAAGACAAAACAACCCUUACUAAUUACUGAAUAAAAAUAAAAAAAAACUAAAAUAAAUUUUGUUUACUUAAAGAAUAAAAAAACAAAAAUAGAAAACCUAAUUAAAGAAAAAAACAACAGAAUUUGAAUUCACUCCCUCUCUUCUGCGGUUUCUCCCUGCCGUUCUCUCCCCCAGAAAUUGAAUGUAGCGGCGGCCACCCUUUCUCUCCAGCGGCGGCGACGACGUUCCUUCCUCCAUCGGCGGUACUCCAGCAGCACGGCGUUUUCCAGCGGGCAAUCCUCCAGCGGCGGCACUUCUUAGGGCUCCAGCGGCGGUGCCAUGUUCUCCGGCGCUUCUACCCUCUCCUCUCUCUCCCUCUCUUUGCUGCGGCGACGGGUGGGCAACGCUGAAAUGGGUGGAGUCGCGGUCGUGGCUACGGAAUGGGAGGAAGGAUUCUCUCAGCCCACAGAGUCGCGGCGGCGACGAGCUUCCUCUCCAGCGCAGCGGUGGCGACGAGCUUCCUCUCCAGCGGCAGCGACAGCAGCAGCAGCGACCCUACCUAGGGUUUCUACGGAACGGCGGCGGCGACUCGGCGGACUCCAGCGCAGCGGCGGCGACGAGCUUCCUCUCCAGCACAGCGGCAGCGACGAGCUUCCUCUUAUGCUUAACUAUCCUCUCUCACUCUCAAAGACGAUGGCUAUCACAGACGAUGGCUAUCACAGACCAGGCAACUGCACUUGUACAAGCCGGUGUCCCCGUUAUUCGACUAGCAGCAGGAGAACCGGAUUUCGACACUCCAAUUCCAAUUGCUUAGGCUGGGAUUAAUGCAAUUCGUGAAGGGUUCACUAGGUAUACUCCCAAUGCAGGCACAUUGGAGCUCCGCACAGCUAUUUGUCACAAGCUUAAAGUGAAAUUGGUUAUACACACUUGAUUACACAAUUGGUGCAUUAGGGCAUCACCAAGGGGCUGUCGACGAGCAGUAUUUGUCCCAGUAUAGGUUUCGUGUUAGUCGUUGGAUAUUUUCUGUUACUGUUUGAUAUUUAGGUUGGAUUAUGAUUUGGGUUGUUUUAAAUUAUGGCUUGGGGUGUUAUGGAUUUG